CGGGGUGUAGCGCAGCUUGGUAGCGCGCGUCGUUCGGGACGACGAGGUCCCGGGUUCGAAUCCCGGCACCCCGACCA
rnacentral:tRNA from 1 species